rnacentral:rRNA from 1 species
UUGAAAGGGAAACGAUUGAAGUCAGUCGUUCUUCGGGUAAUCAACUUUCGGGUGCGAUUAUGUGGAGCGUGGGGAGCUAAACACCUUCAUGCCUGCGUAUUUGUAUUUUGGGGUGUACUUGGACGUGCGGUAGGUUAACCUCAAUUUCGGACGUCAUAAAAUGGCUGGAGGAAUGUAGCUUCGGUCUCGUACUGAAGUGUUAAAACCUUCGGCAGAUAUGGUGACCGGGAUUGAGGAUUGCAACGGAUACCUUUUGGGCUACCCGCCUGAUCUCUGAAAGUUGCUCUGGUGCCGAAAGCUUGCUUACGGUUAUCAAAGUUGACGUUCAAAAGGUUAGAACGGGUUAAAUUCGUUAAGGAUGUUGACGUA